rnacentral:miRNA from 1 species
UUAGGUUGGUGCAAAAGUAAUUGCGGUUUGUCAUUACUUUCAACGGUAAAAACCUCAAUUACUUUUGCACCAACUAAAU